rnacentral:sRNA from 2 species
GCCCCCGUCAUUGGGGAGUAGCCGCCCUCCGAAAGCGAGAGGGGCUUGCGUCAACAGACUUAACCUGCGUCAUCGACAGCAGGUUAUGGCGCAAGCGAUCCAGGUUUGGCGAGACCUUUGACCAUGCCGCCUCAGCUUAGGGCCGGAAGGCGCAUGGUCAUUGGUAUCUGUCCGGCCCUGGAGC